GUAGACGCUACGGACUUAAAAUCCGUCGACUUUAUAAGUCGUGAGGGUUCAAGUCCCUCUAUCCCCA
rnacentral:tRNA from 5 species